rnacentral:rRNA from 1 species
CCUACGGGGGACAGCAGUGAGGAAUAUUGGUCAAUGGGCUUACGCCUGAACCAGCCAAGUCGCGUGAGGGAAGACUGCCCUAUGGGUUGUAAACCUCUUUUGUCAGGGAGCAACGCCGGCUACGUGUAGCCGGACUGAGAGUACCUGAAGAAAAAGCAUCGGCUAACUCCGUGCCAGCAGCCGCGGUAAUACGGAGGAUGCGAGCGUUAUCCGGAUUUAUGGGGUUUAAAGGGUGCGUAGGCGGAAUGCCAAGUCAGCGGUAAAAUCGCGGGGCUCAACCUCGCUCCGCCGUUGAAACUGGCGUUCUUGAGUGGUCGAGAAGUAUGCGGAAUGCGUGGUGUAGCGGUGAAAUGCAUAGAUAUCACGCAGAACUCCGAUUGCGAAGGCAGCAUACCGGCGCCCAACUGACGCUGAAGCACGAAAGCGUGGGUAUCGAACAGGAUUAGAUACCCCUGUAGUC